rnacentral:rRNA from 1 species
CAGCAGCCGCGGGAAUACAGAGGAUGCAAGCGUUAUCCGGAAUGAUUGGGCGUAAAGGGCUCGCAGGCGGUUUCUUAAGUCUGAUGUGAAAGCCCCCGGCUCAACCGGGGAGGGUCAUUGGAAACUGGGAAACUUGAGUGCAGAAGAGGAGAGUGGAAUUCCACGUGUAGCGGUGAAAUGCGUAGAGAUGUGGAGGAACACCGAUGGCGAAGGCAGCCCCCUGGGCCAAUACUGACGCUCAUGCACGAAAGCGUGGGGAGCAAACAGGAUUAGAUACCCCAGUAGUCCCUGUCUCUUAUAA